AAGUAAUACAAAUAGCAACACACACUCCCAGCCCCCAGCAGAGGGAAUUUUGCCUCCUUUCCCCCUCUGGAAGGACCAGUGACCUACAGCUCCACGGAGAUGGAUGCCAAAUGCUGCUGCACAGCUUCUUGACUCAGGCCAGCAAGAGCAAGCUGUAGGCUGCGAUUGAAAUUUGACAAACAGCUGUUAACAAGAAUUUUGUACGAAAUAUAUUUGUUCAGUCAGCGAAUGACAUCUUUCAUAAUUUUAGUGCAUUUUUUUUAAUUGAAACUGUUAGCAAAUGCUCAUUCACUAAGGAAAAAUUCCCCUGUAGAGUUAGGUAAAUAUUGUGGCAACAGUACCUGACCAAAUUUCACUAAAGAAUUUACUCAGCAUGGGGAAAAGGGUCAGUUUUAGGUUUUCCCUAUAUUUCUCUAACACAAAAAGAAUCCAGUGCUACGCUUCUUAGCAGUAGCUCAAGGCAACAAGGACCCAAGCCCCACAGUAGGCAAAGGCACAGUUAUUGGGCUGGGGGGUUAAAAAUACCAGUUUGGGGAUGACCUCAGGGCUGUGCCACCUUUUACCAAAUGCUUGGCAAAUAUCGAUCAAGCCUGAUAUUUUAUACGAGCCUCACGUGAAAUGGAUAUGUUAACAGAUGGGGGCACUUCGGGCAAAAUAACUGAGGGGGAACGGAAGGGAAGGGAAACUGCGGGCAAAGCACCUUCACCAGCCGGAGUAGGAGGCAGCGCCGCAGCUGCUGUUGGCAUGGCAGCCCCUCACGGCACAAGCAGCCUCACUCGUUGCGCCCUCCUCCUCCUUCUCCUCUUCCUCCCUCUUCUGCCAACCGUCGCAGCGGUGUUGCCAUGGGCACAGGGCUCGCGCUCCCGCCGGGCCGCAAGAAAAUGGCGGGCCGGGAGCGGCGGCCAUGGCGCCUCAGCGGCCCUGAGGCAUUUUGGGCACCGAGGGAUGGAGCCUCGGGGCUGGGGCGCUGUGAGGGGGCUGCAGCUGAAGGGGGAGGUGUGGGACUGCCUGAGGAGGCAGCAGCGUGGAGUAACUGAUGCUGGGCUGCAGUUCAGAAGUCCUGCUCUUCAGCCCCAUUAG
rnacentral:lncRNA from 1 species